AAUGAACGCUGGCGGCAGGCCUAACACAUGCAAGUCGAGCGAGCCGCGGACGGGUGAGUAAUGUAUGGGGACUGCCCUAUAGCGGGGGAUAACUACUGGAAACGGUGCUUAAUCCCGCAUACUAUAGGAUACCCCAUAUGGGAUUAGCUAGUAGGUGGGGUAAAGGCUCACCUAGGAGACGGUCUCAAGUUGGUCUGAGAGGAUGAUCGGCCACACUGGGACGGAGACGCGUCCCAGACUCGUACGGGGGGAGCAGUGGGGAAAAUUGCACAAUGGGCGCAGGCCUGAUGCAGCGAUGCCGCGUGUAUGAAGCGGGCCUUAGGGUUGUAAAGUACUUUCGCUAUCGAACGGGUAGGUGAAGAAGAAGCACCGGCUAACUACGUGCCAGCAGCCGCGGUAAUUC
rnacentral:rRNA from 1 species